rnacentral:sRNA from 1 species
UGGGGAUUCAGGAGGAGGACAGAGUCGGUGGAUUGAUUAACAAAAUGAUGUUGAAUAAUUCAGUCAGUAUUGCUGGAGAAGGGAUGGUUGGACGGGCAACAUUUACAGGAAACUAUCAGUGGAUUCUUAUGAACAAUUUCAGUGGAGAUGCAUAUCCACCAGAGGUAUAUUCUGAGUUGCAUUACCAAUUUUCUGCUGGAAUGCAGGUUACUUCUUCUCAGUUGGAAAGAAAGUGGAGAGAUCUAAUUAGUGGGUUCAUGCUUUUCAC